rnacentral:rRNA from 1 species
UACGAGGGGGGCAAAUGUUGUUCGGAAUCACUGGGCGUAAAGGGAGCGUAGGCGGGUUUUUAAGUCAGGUGUUUAAUCCCGGGGCCCAACCCCGGACAGGCACUUGAAACUGGGAAUCUUGAAUAGUGGAGAGGUCGGUGGAAUUCCGCGUGUAGCAGUGAAAUGCGUAGAGAUGCGGAGGAACACCGAUGGCGAAGGCAGCCCCCUGGGCCAACACUGACGCUCAGGCACGAAAGCGUGGGGAGCAAACAGG